AACGAACGCUGGCGGCGUGCCUAACACAUGCAAGUCGAACGAGAAAGGGGCUUCGGCUCCGAGUAAAGUGGCUCACGGGUGAGUAACACGUGGGUAACCUGCCUCUAAGAUUGGGAUAACUCGUCGAAAGAUGAGCUAAUACCGAAUAAGACCACAGUUCCCGCGGGAAUAGGGGUCAAAGGUAGCCUCUGCUUGCAAGCUAUCACUUAGAGAUGGGCCUGCGCACCAUUGGCUAGUUGGUAGGGUAACGGCCUACCAAGGCCAAGAUGGGUAGCUGGUCUGAGAGGAUGAUCAGCAACACUGGAACUGGGACACGGUCCAGACUCCUACGAGAGACAGCAGUGGGGAAUAUUGAGCAAAGGGCGAAAGCUGGACGAAGCAACGCCGCGUGAGAGAUUAAGGCCGUCGGGUCGCGAAGCUCUGUCGGGCGGAACGAAUGCACCUGAGGUUAACAGCCUCGGGAGGUGACGGUACCUGCAAAGGAAGCACCGGCUAACUCUGUG
rnacentral:rRNA from 1 species